GUUCUCACUUCGGCAACACUAAACUUAGAAUGAUACAGAGAAGAUUAGCAUGGUCCCUGCCAGGGAUAACAUACAGAUUUGUGAAACGUUCCAUAUUUUU
ensembl:snRNA U6 U6 spliceosomal RNA